rnacentral:rRNA from 1 species
UGUUUCGGCUAGGGGGCCAUCCCGGCUUACCAACCCGAUGCAAACUACGAAUACCGAAGAAUGUUAUCACGGGAGACACACGGCGGGUGCUAACGUCCGUCGUGAAGAGGGAAACAACCCAGACCGCCAGCUAAGGUCCCAAAGUCAUGGUUAAGUGGGAAACGAUGUGGGAAGGCACAGACAGCCAGGAUGUUGGCUUAGAAGCAGCCAUCAUUUAAAGAAAGCGUAAUAGCUCACUGGUCGAGUCGGCCUGCGCGGAAGAUGUAACGGGGCUAAACCAUGCACCGAAGCUGCGGCAGCGACACUAUGUGUUGUUGGGUAGGGGAGCGUUCUGUAAGCCGUUGAAGGUGUGCUGUGAGGCAUGCUGGAGGUAUCAGAAGUGCGAAUGCUGACAUAAGUAACGAUAAAGCGGGUGAAAAGCCCGCUCGCCGGAAGACCAAGGGUUCCUGUCCAACGUUAAUCGGGGCAGGGUGAGUCGACCCCUAAGGCGAGGCCGAAAGGCGUAGUCGAUGGGAAACAGGUUAAUAUUCCUGUACUUGGUGUUACUGCGAAGGGGGGACGGAGAAGGCUAUGUCAGCCGGGCGACGGUUGUCCCGGUUUAAGCAUGUAGGCGGAGGUUCCAGGUAAAUCCGGUACCUUUUAACGCUGAGGUGUGAUGACGAGGCACUACGGUGCUGAAGUGAUAAAUGCCCUGCUUCCAGGAAAA